CAGUAGCCGCGGGAAAACCAGCACCUCGAGUGGUCAGGAGGUUUAUUGGGCCUAAAGCAUCCGUAGCCGGUUGCAUAAGUUUUCGGUUAAAUCUAUGCGCUUAACGUAUAGGCCGCCGAAAAUACUGUGCAGCUAGGGAGUGGGAGAGGUACACGGUACUCGAUAGGAAGGGGUAAAAUCCUUUGAUCUAUUGAUGACCACCUGUGGCGAAGGCGGUGUACCAGAACACGUUCGACGGUGAGGGAUGAAAGCUGGGGGAGCAAACCGGAUUAGAUACCCGAGUAGUCCCUGUCUCUUAUAC
rnacentral:rRNA from 1 species